GAUGAACGCUAGCGGCAGGCUUAAUACAUGCAAGUCGAGGGGCAGCAUAACUGUAGCAAUACAGUUGAUGGCGACCGGCAAACGGGUGCGGAACACGUACAGAACCUUCCUUCGAGCGGGGAAUAGCCCAGAGAAAUUUGGAUUAAUACCCCAUAGUACAACGGAGUGGCAUCACUUUGUUGUUAAAGAUUUAUCACUUGAAGAUGGCUGUGCGGCUGAUUAGGUAGUUGGCGGGGUAACGGCCCACCAAGCCUGCGAUCAGUAACUGGUGUGAGAGCACGACCAGUCACACGGGCACUGAGACACGGGCCCGACUCCUACGGGAGGCAGCAGUAAGGAAUAUUGGUCAAUGGACGAAAGUCUGAACCAGCCAUGCCGCGUGGAGGAUGAAGGUCCUCUGGAUUGUAAACUUCUUUUAUAUGGGACGAAAAAGGGUUUUCUAACUCGUCUGACGGUACCAUAUGAAUAAGCACCGGCUAACUCCGUGCCAGCAGCCGAC
rnacentral:rRNA from 1 species